CAGGGUAGAACAAGAAAUAACGGGUUCAAGCUUGAAAAAUUUAGGUUUAGGAAGGAGAUAGGAAAAAAUUGGUUCUCAAAUAGAGUGGUAGAUUAGUGGAACGGACUCGGUAAUCAUGUAGUUAGUGCUAGGACACUAGAGAGCUUUAAGGGAAGAUUAGACAAGUUUAUGGAUGGAGAUAGCAGAUGGAAAUAGGUAGGUGUGUUUCAUACAGGGACUGCCACGUGUAAGCCUGGUCGCUUCUUGCAGCUUCCCUUAUUUCUUAUGUUCUUAUGUUAUCUCGACGAAAUAAGGACGUAGCAGGAAAUUUAUCAUCGGUGGAACCACGUUAGUUUUCUCGGUCAGGAUAAGUUUAUGGUAGUUACUUAAUGAAUGGCAUUCAACACUCUUCUUGAAUAAGAGGAAGACGCGUUAUUUCAGGUGGUCUUGGAUAUAACAAUCAUAUGGGAAUUGUAGCUUUUUAUACACUGGAAUAGCGACGCAAGUGUCGAACAGCUGCCCCAUAGUUACGUAACUAAAAUCACGAAAGGUAGGAUUACCAGGUAUUUUCUUUUAAUUAAUGUAUAGUCGCGGUCAUAACUUAGUUUGGCUUCGUCGCAGUGAUGAAUCUUGGCCAGUUCAGGUUUGAAGGUCUCAACUGCGUUAUGACAGGUGCCGGCGAGAGGGAAGGGACUUCAACCUCCCCACGCCUCCUCGCCGGCACUUCGCGCUCCAUUCCUAACGACGCAGUUGUUCAAACCUGAACUAGAUUCAUCAUUGCGACAAAGCAGUACGACUUACGGCCGCGAUUAUAUAUGUAUAUAAAAAAAAAAAGUCAGUUACAAUGCAAUUUGUUUCAGAGGUGUUUAGUAUGAAUUUCAAUGUGAUUUGUUUCAGAGGUGAAGUGAGUAGCCAGUUGAUGUGGUAUAUGUAACCGUACUAGCCCCACCUUACCUGGUCCUACUGCCAGACUGAAGAGCCAAAUACACAUAGGACUCGGUCUCCCAGUGUGUUAAGCUUUAAAUGGGUACAUUAAAGCUUAACAUACAUACAAGUAAUUGGUUUUGAAGACCCUGCAUCUAGCAUCUAGCCAAUGUCUUCAUAAACUUCUGCCAUCUCUUUCGGGUCUUCAUAAACCACUCCAUCUACCAUUAGCUUUCCUAUACUAGCUUAGCUUUUCAGUUUACCAUUCACAUAUCUAUAAAAGAGUUUUGUUCAUCUUUUGUAACUAGUUAUUUACUUUAACUUUAGUUAAAAAAUCAUGUAUGACUGCUACUUAUCAAUAAAAAACUUACCUACUGUG